rnacentral:ncRNA from 1 species
UACCUGAUUGAUUCUGUCAGCGCGAUAUGCUCAAGUAAAAGAUUAAGCCAUGCAUGCUUUGAUUCAUAAAUGAAAUUGCGUACGGCUCAUUAGAGCAGAUAUCACCUUUCUCGGAAUCCUGAAAAGGAUAACUGCGGAAAUUCUGGAGCUAAUACAUGCGACUAUACUCCAACGCAAGGCGGGGUGCAAUUAUUAGAACAGACCAAACGUUUUCGGACGUUGUUUGUUGACUCUGAAUACCGUCGUUUACUGUCAGUUUCGACUGACUCUAUCCGAGAAGGGUGUCUGCCCUUUCAACUAGAUGGUAAUCUAUUGGACUACCAUGGUUGUUACGGGUAACGGAGAAUUAGGGUUCGACUCCGGAGAGGGAGCCUUAGAAACGGCUACCACGUCCAAGAAAGGCAGCAGCGCGAAACUUAUCCACUGUUGAGUAUGAGAUAGUGACUAAAAAUAUAAAGACUCAUCCUUUUGGAUGAGUAUUUCA